CCGAAGUACAAUGUUAAGCAUACAUAUUGGUGUGAUUAGGAAAAUGUUGUAUCAAAAUAUUAAAGCAAGUCAAACAAUAUAUUGAGGACAAAUUGAAUUUGUUCCAUGUGCAAAUGGGAAGCAUAAUUCUUCAUUAUCCUCUCCAUAUGAAGCACAAAAGAUAUGUCAUAGGUUAAUUUAUGUACACAUUCCUCCAGAAGGCAUGGUUCCUCCUCAAAUGAUGGUAU
rnacentral:lncRNA from 1 species